rnacentral:rRNA from 1 species
UCAAGAAACUUCCACAAUGGGCGAAAGCCUGAUGGAGCGACGUCGCGUGAUGGACGAAGUGCUUCGGCACGUAAACAUCUUUUAUGUGGGAUGAAAUUAUUGACAGUACCACAUGAAUAAGGGGCUCCUAACUCUGUGCCAGCAGGAGCGGUAAUACAGAGGCCCCAAGCGUUAUCCGGAAUCACUGGGCGUAAAGGGUGUCGAGGCGGUUUGUAUUAGUCGUUCGUAAAAUCUACGAGCUUAACUUGUAGGCGGCGAACGAAACGGUACGACUUGAGGUUUGGAGGGGUGCGUGGAACUCACGGUGUAGGGGUGAAAUCCGUUGAUAUCGUGGGGAACACCAAAGGCGAAGGCAGCGCACUGGCCAAAAUCUGACGCUCACACACGAAAGCUAGGGUAGCGAAGAGGAUUAGAUACCCAGGUAGUCCCUGAGCGGGCUGGCAAGGCGC